UUAACUAUUAUAUAGUACUCAGACGACACUAAUAAACAGAGUUUGUGGUCCUCUGGCGAGCGCGCACCAGCAAAAGCCGGUGGCCGAAGCGGCUCGCCAAAGCAACAAAGGUUUAAAUAACAUAGGGUUGGAGAGUCACCCGUGAGGGCAAUGUUCUCUGUAAUGAUCCCUCCGCAGGUUCACCUACGGAGA
rnacentral:misc_RNA from 1 species